rnacentral:rRNA from 1 species
GACGAACGCUGGCGGCGCGCUUAACACAUGCAAGUCGAACGGAAAGGCCUGCUUUCCCUUGUGGAUUGCGGGUACUCGAGUGGCGAACGGGUGAGUAACACGUGAGUGAUCUGCCCCCAACUUGGGUAUAAGCCUGGGAAACUGGGUCUAAUUCCCGAUAGGACUGCAGGGUGGUGCCUGUGGUGGAAAACGAUUUUCUAGUGGUUGGGGAUGAGCUCGCGGCCUAUCAGCUUGUUGGUGGGGUAAUGGCCUACCAAGGCGGCGACGGGUAGCCGGCCUGAGGGGGUGGACGGCCACAUUGGGACUGAGAUACGGCCCAGACUCCUACGGGAGGCAGCAGUGGGGAGUAUUGCACAAUGGGCGGAAGCCUGAUGCAGCGACGCCGCGUGGGGGAUGACGGCCUUCGGGUUGUAAACUCCUUUCGACCGCGAGGAAGCCACCUGGUUGGAAGGGUGGUGACGGUAGUGGUAGAAGAAGCACCGGCUAACUACGUG